rnacentral:misc_RNA from 1 species
GUUGGGCCAAGUCUCAUCAAUGAAAUCCUUGGAUUGCUUGCCUGUUUUCAAAAUGGCACCUUCAGAGUCUUCAUUCAAAGAGUCAUUUGUGGUUGGGCCAGGUAUGCUGCAUCUAUUGAAAGAUCCUUUCAUGCUUUCACUGCAUUUCUCUAUAGAAACAUUUCCUUCUGAGAAUGAAGUUGAUAUGCUGCAAGAUUGAACUUGUGUAGCCGCUUUUCUUUUCAUUAGAACGGACACAAGGGUCUGCUGGAGACCAUGAAUCAUUGGGAGAUAUCUAGCAGACAAAGAAGGG